UACGUAGGGGGCAAGCGUUGUCCGGAUUUAUUGGGCGUAAAGCGCUCGCAGGUGGUUCGUCGCGUCGUGCGUGAAAGACCCCGGCUCAACUGGGGGGCGUCGUGCGAUACGGGCGGACUGGAGGCCAGUAGGGGGAUGCGGAAUUCCGGGUGUAGUGGUGGAAUGCAUAGAGAUCCGGAGGAACACCAGCGGCGAAGGCGGCAUCCUGGACUGGUCCUGACACUCAUGAGCGAAAGCGUGGGGAGCGAUCCGG
rnacentral:rRNA from 1 species